AUGAACGCUAGCGACAGGCUAACACAUGCAAGUCGAGGGGUAACAGGGUAGCAAUACCGCUGACGACCGGCGCACGGGUGAGUAACGCGUAUGCAACCUGCCUAUAACUGGGGAAUAGCUCCCUGAAAGGGGAAUUAACACCGCAUAACACUAUUGAUUCGCAUGGAUUGGUAGUUAAAUGUAGCGAUACAGGUUAUAGAUGGGCAUGCGUGACAUUAGCUAGUUGGUGAGGUAACGGCUCACCAAGGCUACGAUGUCUAGGGGUUCUGAGAGGAAGGUCCCCCACACUGGUACUGAGACACGGACCAGACUCCUACGGGAGGCAGCAGUGAGGAAUAUUGGUCAAUGGGCGCAAGCCUGAACCAGCCAUGUCGCGUGCAGGAAGACUGCCCCCUAUGGGUUGUAAACUGCUUUUAUAGUAGAAGAAACACAUCUACGUGUAGAUGUCUGCCAGUAUACUAUGAAUAAGCAUCGGCUAACUCCGUGCCAGCCGCCGC
rnacentral:rRNA from 1 species